rnacentral:tRNA from 1 species
GCCGGGGUACCCUAGCCAGAGGCGCCGGCGAAGGAAGGGGCUGGACUCGAGAUCCAGUGCCUCAUACGGGGCUCGUGGGUUCGAAUCCCACCCCCGGCG